GGGUUGUGAGGUUAAGCGACUAAGCGUACACGGUGGAUGCCCUGGCAGUCAGAGGCGAUGAAGGGCGUGCUAAUCUGCGAUAAGCGCCGGUAAGGUGAUAUGAACCGUUAUAACCGGCGAUACCCGAAUGGGGAAACCCAGUGUGAUUCGUCACACUAUCAUUAACUGAAUCCAUAGGUUAAUGAGGCGAACCGGGGGAACUGAAACAUCUAAGUACCCCGAGGAAAAGAAAUCAACCGAGAUUCCCCCAGUAGCGGCGAGCGAACGGGGAGGAGCCCAGAGCCUGAAUCAGCAUGUGUGUUAGUGGAAGCGUCUGGAAAGGCGCGCGAUACAGGGUGACAGCCCCGUACACAAAAGCGCAUGUGCUGUGAGCUCGAUGAGUAGGGCGGGACACGUGGUAUCCUGUCUGAAUAUGGGGGGACCAUCCUCCAAGGCUAAAUACUCCUGACUGACCGAUAGUGAACCAGUACCGUGAGGGAAAGGCGAAAAGAACCCCGGCGAGGGGAGUGAAAAAGAACCUGAAACCGUGUACGUACAAGCAGUGGGAGCNNNNNNNNNNNNNNNNNNNNNNNNNNNNNNNNNNNNGGGCGUUAAGUUGCAGGGUAUAGACCCGAAACCCGGUGAUCUAGCCAUGGGCAGGUUGAAGGUUGGGUAACACUAACUGGAGGACCGAACCGACUAAUGUUGAAAAAUUAGCGGAUGACCUGUGGCUGGGGGUGAAAGGCCAAUCAAACCGGGAGAUAGCUGGUUCUCCCCGAAAGCUAUUUAGGUAGCGCCUCGUGAAUUCAUCUCCGGGGGUAGAGCACUGUUUCGGCUAGGGGGCCAUCCCGGCUUACCAACCCGAUGCAAACUGCGAAUACCGGAGAAUGUUAUCACGGGAGACACACGGCGGGUGCUAACGUCCGUCGUGAAGAGGGAAACAACCCAGACCGCCAGCUAAGGUCCCAAAGUCAUGGUUAAGUGGGAAACGAUGUGGGAAGGCCCAGACAGCCAGGAUGUUGGCUUAGAAGCAGCCAUCAUUUAAAGAAAGCGUAAUAGCUCACUGGUCGAGUCGGCCUGCGCGGAAGAUGUAACGGGGCUAAACCAUGCACCGAAGCUGCGGCAGCGACACUGUGUGUUGUUGGGUAGGGGAGCGUUCUGUAAGCCUGUGAAGGUGUGUCGUGAGGCAUGCUGGAGGUAUCAGAAGUGCGAAUGCUGACAUAAGUAACGAUAAAGCGGGUGAAAAGCCCGCUCGCCGGAAGACCAAGGGUUCCUGUCCAACGUUAAUCGGGGCAGGGUGAGUCGACCCCUAAGGCGAGGCCGAAAGGCGUAGUCGAUGGGAAACGGGUUAAUAUUCCCGUACUUGGUGUUACUGCGAAGGGGGGACGGAGAAGGCUAUGUUGGCCGGGCGACGGUUGUCCCGGUUUAAGCGUGUAGGUGUGUGUUCCAGGUAAAUCCGGUUCACUUUAACACUGAGGCGUGACGACGAGGCACUACGGUGCUGAAGCAACAAAUGCCCUGCUUCCAGGAAAAGCCUCUAAGCAUCAGGUAACAUCAAAUCGUACCCCAAACCGACACAGGUGGUCAGGUAGAGAAUACCAAGGCGCUUGAGAGAACUCGGGUGAAGGAACUAGGCAAAAUGGUGCCGUAACUUCGGGAGAAGGCACGCUGACACGUAGGUGAAGUGAUUUACUCAUGGAGCUGAAGUCAGUCGAAGAUACCAGCUGGCUGCAACUGUUUAUUAAAAACACAGCACUGUGCAAACACGAAAGUGGACGUAUACGGUGUGACGCCUGCCCGGUGCCGGAAGGUUAAUUGAUGGGGUCAGCGCAAGCGAAGCUCCUGAUCGAAGCCCCGGUAAACGGCGGCCGUAACUAUAACGGUCCUAAGGUAGCGAAAUUCCUUGUCGGGUAAGUUCCGACCUGCACGAAUGGCGUAAUGAUGGCCAGGCUGUCUCCACCCGAGACUCAGUGAAAUUGAACUCGCUGUGAAGAUGCAGUGUACCCGCGGCAAGACGGAAAGACCCCGUGAACCUUUACUAUAGCUUGACACUGAACAUUGAGCCUUGAUGUGUAGGAUAGGUGGGAGGCUUUGAAGUGUGGACGCCAGUCUGCAUGGAGCCGACCUUGAAAUACCACCCUUUAAUGUUUGAUGUUCUAACGUGGACCCGUUACCCGGGUUGCGGACAGUGUCUGGUGGGUAGUUUGACUGGGGCGGUCUCCUCCUAAAGAGUAACGGAGGAGCACGAAGGUUGGCUAAUCCUGGUCGGACAUCAGGAGGUUAGUGCAAUGGCAUAAGCCAGCUUGACUGCGAGCGUGACGGCGCGAGCAGGUGCGAAAGCAGGUCAUAGUGAUCCGGUGGUUCUGAAUGGAAGGGCCAUCGCUCAACGGAUAAAAGGUACUCCGGGGAUAACAGGCUGAUACCGCCCAAGAGUUCAUAUCGACGGCGGUGUUUGGCACCUCGAUGUCGGCUCAUCACAUCCUGGGGCUGAAGUAGGUCCCAAGGGUAUGGCUGUUCGCCAUUUAAAGUGGUACGCGAGCUGGGUUUAGAACGUCGUGAGACAGUUCGGUCCCUAUCUGCCGUGGGCGCUGGAGAACUGAGGGGGGCUGCUCCUAGUACGAGAGGACCGGAGUGGACGCAUCACUGGUGUUCGGGUUGUCAUGCCAAUGGCACUGCCCGGUAGCUAAAUGCGGAAGAGAUAAGUGCUGAAAGCAUCUAAGCACGAAACUUGCCCCGAGAUGAGUUCUCCCUGAGACUUAAAGUCUCCUGAAGGAACGUUGAAGACGACGACGUUGAUAGGCCGGGUGUGUAAGCGCAGCGAUGCGUUGAGCUAACCGGUACUAAUGAACCGUGAGGCUUAACCUUACAACGCCGAAG
rnacentral:rRNA from 1 species